ACGAUGCCCCAGCUCAACGGAACGAGUGUUUCGGCUCAUCGCUUCACCAGUCACCACCCCGACAGAGACCGCCACCGUCAAGCAUGUUGGAUGCACCGAGUCCGGCAGCAGGCGAAUUCAGACGCCGUCUUGCACAGCUUCAGGGGGUGAAGGGCGGACUAGGCAGCAGAGGCACUAACGGGCCGAGGAUCCUGGCAGUUCUCUCCGCGCUGAGGAGCUCCAGCCGCAAUAGCAACCCUCAGAGAGUUUGGAAGACAGGGCUGCCCGUCGGGUGGUCCGGUGAUCGGCCGUGCAAAGACAAGAUAGUGCGAUGCUCACAGGGGUGGAAGCUUGCCACGCGGGAAGACGACACGCCACGGUGCUGCAUUUUCUUCUGCUAGAAUGCACGCCGGUGCAGCUGUGUUGCACGUGCACACGGGAUGUCAGUGUGUCAGUUUGAUUGCCCUGAUCAUGUGCAUAAGAUGCACACGACGACAUUGCACCUAGCCGACACAAACUGCCUACAGAAGCGUUUGUGUGUAGACGUGGAAAAAGCGACCCUUCGCUAUCAAACUCAGAGGGGGGGCUCACACUGCCACGCAGCUGUGCCAAACUGCGGUCCUCGGGCUAGAAGGCGCGUAGGUGCUGACGGCAGGGGAUUCGAGGCCGCAGUGCCACAAGAGAACGAAGCGAGUAGAGCGAGAAAUGGAUAAGCGGGAAUGUGCGCGAAUGCGAUGGAGAGAGCGAGCGAGUCACCAGACGAUGCGCGACCUGCAGCAGGAGGGCGUGCACGCUAUCUCUCUCUCAGCUCCUGCGCGCGUAGCCGGGGAGAGACACACAACGAAAGAAAAAACGCUCACAUUGUUGUUGCGCCACCUGCGGGCGCGCGCGAAACCCUGUCUCUCUUCUGGGCAUGUCUGCGGAUGUGUGCCGUGCGGAUGUACGGGUGCGCAUACUUUUAUUUCCGGACUGUUUUUUUUUUUUUUUUCUUUGGCCGCUUCUUCGGCGACGUGCUCCUCCCCUGCUUGCUCUAGAACUGUGCGUGCGUAGGUACGCUCAUGGCACCAUCAGCGGUGCUACGCUUGCGGUUGCUUUG
rnacentral:misc_RNA from 1 species